rnacentral:snRNA from 1 species
UGAUGUGAGUGGACCUGGCCACAGGCUGAUCCAGCUGGCUAGGCAGGUGCCUCCUCCCUCCCUCACUGCUCCCGUGGUGUGCACCCCUCCUAAAGCUUCCUACACAGUCUCAGAGGGUGGCCUACCCUGAGAGAGGAAAAGCUGUCUUUGGUCAAGAGUACAAGAGUAACUGUGCUCCCCUGCUAGGACCUUCAGACAAGCUGGAAAAGUCCACGUGUGAAGCAGCGUAGGGUAGCCAAGCUUCCAGGGCUCCAGCAGAUGAGGCAUUGCCUGUGGCACUGUGCCUUAAAAC